GAUGAACGCUGGCGGCGUGCCUAAUACAUGCAAGUCGAGCGAACAGACGAGGAGCUUGCUCCUUUGACGUUAGCGGCGGACGGGUGGGUAACACGUAGGUAACCUACCUAUAAGACUGGGAUAACUUCGGGAAACCGGAGCUAAUACCGGAUAAUAUUUCGAACCGCAUGGUUCGAUAGUGAAAGAUGGCUUUGCUAUCACUUAUAGAUGGACCUGCGCCGUAUUAGCUAGUUGGUAAGGUAACGGCUUACCAAGGCAACGAUACGUAGCCGACCUGAGAGGGUGAUCGGCCACACUGGAACUGAGACACGGUCCAGACUCCUACGGGAGGCAGCAGUAGGGAAUCUUCCGCAAUGGGCGAAAGCCUGACGGAGCAACGCCGCGUGAGUGAUGAAGGUCUUCGGAUCGUAAAACUCUGUUAUUAGGGAAGAACAUACGUGUAAGUAACUGUGCACGUCUUGACGGUACCUAAUCAGAAAGCCACGGCUAACUACGUG
rnacentral:rRNA from 1 species